UACGAGAGGCCCAACCGUUAUUCGGAUUUACUGGGCUUAAAGAGUUCGUAGGCGGCGCAGAAAGUGGGGUGUGAAAGCCCUCGGCUCAACCGAGGAAUUGCGCUCCAAACUACUGUGCUAGAGGAAGCUAGAGGUGAGCAGAACAGAUGGUGGAGCGGUGAAAUGCGUUGAUAUCAUCUGGAAUACCGGAGGCGAAGGCGGCUCACUGGGGCUUUUCUGACGCUGAGGAACGAAAGCCAGGGUAGCGAACGGG
rnacentral:rRNA from 1 species